rnacentral:rRNA from 1 species
UACGUAGGGGGCAAGCGUUGUCCGGAUUUAUUGGGCGUAAAGAGCGUGUAGGCGGCCAGACAGGUCCGUUGUGAAAACUAGAGGCUUAACCUCUAGACGUCGAUGGAAACCGUUUGGCUAGAGUCCGGAAGAGGAGAAUGGAAUUCCUGGUGUAGCGGUGAAAUGCGCAGAUAUCAGGAAGAACACCCGCGGCUAAGGCGGUUCUCUAGUACGGUACUGACGCUGAGACGCGAAAGCGUGGGGAGCGAACAGG